UACGAAGGGUGCAAGCGUUACUCGGAAUCACUGGGCGUAAAGCGUACGUAGGCGGUUCGUUAAGUCUGCUGUGAAAGCCCUGGGCUCAACCUGGGAACUGCAGUGGAUACUGGCGGACUAGAGUGUGAUAGAGGAUGGUGGAAUUCCCGGUGUAGCGGUGAAAUGCGUAGAGAUCGGGAGGAACACCAAUGGCGAAGGCAGCUCGCUGGGACGGUACUGACGCUGAGACGCGAAAGCGUGGGGAGCAAACAG
rnacentral:rRNA from 1 species